rnacentral:rRNA from 1 species
GGCGGUAGGCCUAACACAUGCAAGUCGAACGAGUGGCGGACGGGUGAGGAAUACAUCGGAAUCUACUUUUUCGUGGGGGAUAACGUAGGGAAACUUACGCUAAUACCGCAUACGAUUGAAUGAGCCGAUGUCGGAUUAGCUAGUUGGCGGGGUAAAGGCCCACCAAGGCGACGAUCCGUAGCUGGUCUGAGAGGAUGAUCAGCCACACUGGAACUGAGACACGGUCCAGACUCCUACGGGAGGCAGCAGUGGGGAAUAUUGGACAAUGGGCGCAAGCCUGAUCCAGCCAUACCGCGUGGGUGAAGAAGGCCUUCGGGUUGUAAAGCCCUUUUGUUGGGAAAGCGGUACCCAAAGAAUAAGCACCGGCUAACUUCGUGCCAGCAGCCGCGGUAAUACGAAGGGUGCAAGCGUUACUCGGAAUUACUGGGCGUAAAGCGUGCGUAGGUGGUCGUUUAAGUCCGUUGUGAAAGCCCUGGGCUCAACCUGGGAACUGCAGUGGAUACUGGGCGACUAGAUGUGGUAGAGGGUAGCGGAAUUCCUGGUGUAGCAGUGAAAUGCGUAGAGAUC